GUCCUAUGGAUUGUAAACUGCUUUUAUACGAGAAGAAACACUGCUUCGUGAAGCAGCUUGACGGUAUCGUAAGAAUAAGGAUCGGCUAACUCCGUGCCAGCAGCCGCGGUAAUACGGAGGAUCCAAGCGUUAUCCGGAAUCAUUGGGUUUAAAGGGUCCGUAGGCGGUUUAAUAAGUCAGUGGUGAAAGCCCAUCGCUCAACGGUGGAACGGCCAUUGAUACUGUUAAACUUGAAUUAUUAGGAAGUAACUAGAAUAUGUAGUGUAGCGGUGAAAUGCUUAGAGAUUACAUGGAAUACCAAUUGCGAAGGCAGGUUACUACUAAUGGAUUGACGCUGAUGGACGAAAGCGUGGGUAGCGAACAGGAUUAGAUACCCUGGUAGUCCACGCCGUAAACGAUGGAUACUAGCUGUUGGAAGCAAUUUCAGUGGCUAAGCGAAAGUGAUAA
rnacentral:rRNA from 1 species